rnacentral:rRNA from 1 species
AUACGGAGGGGGUUAGCGUUGUUCGGAAUUACUGGGCGUAAAGCGCACGUAGGCGGAUUGGAAAGUUGGGGGUGAAAUCCCAGGGCUCAACCCUGGAACCGCCUCCAAAACUAACAGUCUAGAGUUCGAGAGAGGUGAGUGGAAUUCCAAGUGUAGAGGUGAAAUUCGUAGAUAUUUGGAGGAACACCAGUGGCGAAGGCGGCUCACUGGCUCGAUACUGACGCUGAGGUGCGAAAGCGUGGGGAGCAAACAGGAUUAGAAACCCUAGUAGUCC